rnacentral:ribozyme from 2 species
GCCGUAAUGCAGCCGCGUAGUUGUGCGCGCCGGUCCCAAGCCCGGAAAAUGCAGAGGGCGGA